CAGCAGUCAAGAAUAUUAGUCAAUGCUCGCAAGAGUGAACUAGCUAACUGAAAUCAUAAAAUCAUUAAAGUGGUAAUAUGAUAACGUAAGGGAAAAAAUUGAUAUUACCUUACUAUUAGUGUUGUCCAAAGCUGGUGCCAGAAGACUCGGUAAGGCCAGAGACGCGAACGUUAGUCGUCCUUAUCAGGCGUAAAGGGUAUGUAGGCUGCUUUGAAAGUUUUAUUUAUUAAUAGCUUUAAUUCUUACCGGUACGUUCCUCCCCGGUGCCCGGGGGGACGGAAACAGGAUUCUCGUGCCACCGUGUCGUAAUCCUUACCGGAUAUACAGAUUAGAAUAAAUAAAAUUAGUAAAAGCUAGAAUCUUGAGGAAGAUAAGCCAAAUAAUACUUAGAGUAGGGGUGAUAUCUGUUGAUACUAAGGGGAAUACUAACGGUGUAAACUUUUAUCUAUUAAAGAUUGACGCUGAGAAACGAAGGUGAGAAUAGGAAAUAGGAUUAGAGACCCAGAUACCUCUCACUGUAAACGAUGAAUGGUGGUUGUUAGGAAUAGUAAAACUGAUGGCGAUGUUAACGCGAUAACCAUUCCGCCUUGCGAGUACGGUUGCAAAACUGAAACCAAAAAAAUUAGUCGGUCUCGAAGCAAACGAAGUGAAGCAUGUUAUUUAAUUCGAU
rnacentral:rRNA from 1 species